GUUUGAUCAUGGCUCAGGAUGAACGCUGGCGGCGUGCCUAACACAUGCAAGUCGAACGGGGUUAUUUUGAUGAAGUCUUCGGAUGGAAUUGAGAUAACCUAGUGGCGGACGGGUGAGUAACGCGUGGGCAACCUGCCCCAUACAGGGGGAUAACAGCCGGAAACGGCUGCUAAAACCGCAUAAGCGCACACCGGCGCAUGCCGGAGUGUGAAAAUGUGUAUCGAAAGAUAUGCAGGUAUGGGAUGGGCCCGCGUCUGAUUAGCUGGUUGGUGAGGUAACGGCCCACCAAGGCGACGAUCAGUAGCCGGCUUGAGAGAGUGACCGGCCACAUUGGGACUGAGACACGGCCCAAACUCCUACGGGAGGCAGCAGUGGGGAAUAUUGCACAAUGGGGGAAACCCUGAUGCAGCGACGCCGCGUGAGUGAAGAAGUACUUCGGUACGUAAAGCUCUAUCAGCAGGGACGAAGAUGACGGUACCUGACUAAGAAGCCCCGGCUAACUACGUGCCAGCAGCCGCGGUAAUACGUAGGGGGCGAGCGUUAUCCGGAUUUACUGGGUGUAAAGGGAGCGUAGGUGGCGAAGCAAGUCAGAUGUGAAAGCCCGGGGCUUAACUCCGGGACUGCAUUUGAAACUGUUUUGCUAGAGUGCAGGAGAGGUAAGUGGAAUUCCUAGUGUAGCGGUGAAAUGCGUAGAUAUUAGGAGGAACACCAGUGGCGAAGGCGGCUUACUGGACUGUAACUGACACUGAGGCUCGAAAGCGUGGGGAGCUGACAGGAUUAGAUACCCUGGUAGUCCACGCUGUAAACGCSGCCUCUAGGUGUUGGGG
rnacentral:rRNA from 1 species